rnacentral:rRNA from 2 species
UACGUAGGGUGCGAGCGUUAAUCGGAAUUACUGGGCGUAAAGCGUGCGCAGGCGGUUUUGUAAGACAGAGGUGAAAUCCCCGGGCUCAACCUGGGAACUGCCUUUGUGACUGCAAGGCUUGAGUGCGGCAGAGGGGGAUGGAAUUCCGCGUGUAGCAGUGAAAUGCGUAGAUAUGCGGAGGAACACCGAUGGCGAAGGCAAUCCCCUGGGCCUGCACUGACGCUCAUGCACGAAAGCGUGGGGAGCAAACAGG